rnacentral:rRNA from 1 species
GACGAACGCUGGCGGCGUGCCUAACACAUGCAAGUCGAACGGAAAGUUAGCAAUAACUUUUAGUGGCGAACGGGUGAGUAACGCGUGGGCAACCUGCCCUUCAGACGGGGACAACAUUCCGAAAGGAGUGCUAAUACCGGAUACGACCUUUAGACCGCAUGGUUUAAAGAAGAAAGGUGGCCUCUAUUUAUAAGCUACCGCUGAAGGAUGGGCCUGCGUCUGAUUAGCUAGUUGGUGGGGUAAAGGCCUACCAAGGCGACGAUCAGUAGCCGGUCUGAGAGGAUGAACGGCCACACUGGGACUGAGACACGGCCCAGACUCCUACGGGAGGCAGCAGUGGGGAAUCUUCCGCAAUGGGCGAAAGCCUGACGGAGCAACGCCGCGUGAGUGAAGAAGGUCUUCGGAUUGUAAAGCUCUGUUUAAAGGGACGAAUGGCUAGAUUGUGAAUAAUGAUUUGGCAUGACGGUACCUUUGGAGGAAGCCACGGCUAACUACGUGCCAGCAGCCGCCGUAAAAC